UUAAGCGACUAAGCGUACACGGUGGAUGCCCUGGCAGUCAGAGGCGAUGAAGGGCGUGCUAAUCUGCGAUAAGCGCCGGUAAGGUGAUAUGAACCGUUAUAACCGGCGAUACCCGAAUGGGGAAACCCAGUGUGAUUCGUCACACUAUCAUUAACUGAAUCCAUAGGUUAAUGAGGCGAACCGGGGGAACUGAAACAUCUAAGUACCCCGAGGAAAAGAAAUCAACCGAGAUUCCCCCAGUAGCGGCGAGCGAACGGGGAGGAGCCCAGAGCCUGAAUCAGCAUGUGUGUUAGUGGAAGCGUCUGGAAAGGCGCGCGAUACAGGGUGACAGCCCCGUACACAAAAGCGCAUGUGCUGUGAGCUCGAUGAGUAGGGCGGGACACGUGGUAUCCUGUCUGAAUAUGGGGGGACCAUCCUCCAAGGCUAAAUACUCCUGACUGACCGAUAGUGAACCAGUACCGUGAGGGAAAGGCGAAAAGAACCCCGGCGAGGGGAGUGAAAAAGAACCUGAAACCGUGUACGUACAAGCAGUGGGAGCACCCUUUGGGUGUGACUGCGUACCUUUUGUAUAAUGGGUCAGCGACUUAUAUUCUGUAGCAAGGUUAACCGAAUAGGGGAGCCGGAGGGAAACCGAGUCUUAACUGGGCGUUAAGUUGCAGGGUAUAGACCCGAAACCCGGUGAUCUAGCCAUGGGCAGGUUGAAGGUUGGGUAACACUAACUGGAGGACCGAACCGACUAAUGUUGAAAAAUUAGCGGAUGACCUGUGGCUGGGGGUGAAAGGCCAAUCAAACCGGGAGAUAGCUGGUUCUCCCCGAAAGCUAUUUAGGUAGCGCCUCGUGAAUUCAUCUCCGGGGGUAGAGCACUGUUUCGGCUAGGGGGCCAUCCCGGCUUACCAACCCGAUGCAAACUGCGAAUACCGGAGAAUGUUAUCACGGGAGACACACGGCGGGUGCUAACGUCCGUCGUGAAGAGGGAAACAACCCAGACCGCCAGCUAAGGUCCCAAAGUCAUGGUUAAGUGGGAAACGAUGUGGGAAGGCCCAGACAGCCAGGAUGUUGGCUUAGAAGCAGCCAUCAUUUAAAGAAAGCGUAAUAGCUCACUGGUCGAGUCGGCCUGCGCGGAAGAUGUAACGGGGCUAAACCAUGCACCGAAGCUGCGGCAGCGACACUGUGUGUUGUUGGGUAGGGGAGCGUUCUGUAAGCCUGCGAAGGUGGCCUGUGAGGGUUGCUGGAGGUAUCAGAAGUGCGAAUGCUGACAUAAGUAACGAUAAAGCGGGUGAAAAGCCCGCUCGCCGGAAGACCAAGGGUUCCUGUCCAACGUUAAUCGGGGCAGGGUGAGUCGACCCCUAAGGCGAGGCCGAAAGGCGUAGUCGAUGGGAAACGGGUUAAUAUUCCCGUACUUGGUGUUACUGCGAAGGGGGGACGGAGAAGGCUAUGUUGGCCGGGCGACGGUUGUCCCGGUUUAAGCGUGUAGGUGUGUGUUCCAGGUAAAUCCGGUUCACUUUAACACUGAGGCGUGACGACGAGGCACUACGGUGCUGAAGCAACAAAUGCCCUGCUUCCAGGAAAAGCCUCUAAGCAUCAGGUAACAUCAAAUCGUACCCCAAACCGACACAGGUGGUCAGGUAGAGAAUACCAAGGCGCUUGAGAGAACUCGGGUGAAGGAACUAGGCAAAAUGGUGCCGUAACUUCGGGAGAAGGCACGCUGACACGUAGGUGAAGUGAUUUACUCAUGGAGCUGAAGUCAGUCGAAGAUACCAGCUGGCUGCAACUGUUUAUUAAAAACACAGCACUGUGCAAACACGAAAGUGGACGUAUACGGUGUGACGCCUGCCCGGUGCCGGAAGGUUAAUUGAUGGGGUCAGCGCAAGCGAAGCUCCUGAUCGAAGCCCCGGUAAACGGCGGCCGUAACUAUAACGGUCCUAAGGUAGCGAAAUUCCUUGUCGGGUAAGUUCCGACCUGCACGAAUGGCGUAAUGAUGGCCAGGCUGUCUCCACCCGAGACUCAGUGAAAUUGAACUCGCUGUGAAGAUGCAGUGUACCCGCGGCAAGACGGAAAGACCCCGUGAACCUUUACUAUAGCUUGACACUGAACAUUGAGCCUUGAUGUGUAGGAUAGGUGGGAGGCUUUGAAGUGUGGACGCCAGUCUGCAUGGAGCCGACCUUGAAAUACCACCCUUUAAUGUUUGAUGUUCUAACGUGGACCCGUUACCCGGGUUGCGGACAGUGUCUGGUGGGUAGUUUGACUGGGGCGGUCUCCUCCUAAAGAGUAACGGAGGAGCACGAAGGUUGGCUAAUCCUGGUCGGACAUCAGGAGGUUAGUGCAAUGGCAUAAGCCAGCUUGACUGCGAGCGUGACGGCGCGAGCAGGUGCGAAAGCAGGUCAUAGUGAUCCGGUGGUUCUGAAUGGAAGGGCCAUCGCUCAACGGAUAAAAGGUACUCCGGGGAUAACAGGCUGAUACCGCCCAAGAGUUCAUAUCGACGGCGGUGUUUGGCACCUCGAUGUCGGCUCAUCACAUCCUGGGGCUGAAGUAGGUCCCAAGGGUAUGGCUGUUCGCCAUUUAAAGUGGUACGCGAGCUGGGUUUAGAACGUCGUGAGACAGUUCGGUCCCUAUCUGCCGUGGGCGCUGGAGAACUGAGGGGGGCUGCUCCUAGUACGAGAGGACCGGAGUGGACGCAUCACUGGUGUUCGGGUUGUCAUGCCAAUGGCACUGCCCGGUAGCUAAAUGCGGAAGAGAUAAGUGCUGAAAGCAUCUAAGCACGAAACUUGCCCCGAGAUGAGUUCUCCCUGAGACUUAGAGUCUCCUGAAGGAACGUUGAAGACGACGACGUUGAUAGGCCGGGUGUGUAAGCGCAGCGAUGCGUUGAGCUAACCGGUACUAAUGAACCGUGAGGCUUAACCUU
rnacentral:rRNA from 1 species